GGGCGCAUGGUCUAGGGGUAUGAUUUUCGCUUCGCAUUCCACUCUCUUCUUGAUCUGGAGAGGAUACAGAUGUGAUUGUGAAAGGUCCUGGGUUCAAAUCCCAGUACGUCCA
rnacentral:tRNA from 1 species